rnacentral:lncRNA from 1 species
CACAAGACUGCAGAAAUUACUUUAUUUGAUAAAUGUUUUCAACCCUCCUUCAGAGCCAUCAUCAAGUCCUGCAAUUCAUACCAAGUCUCGCAACUGGCUAUGUUGUUUAUCAACCUGUGAGCCAAGUGAUCCACCACUUUGAGUUGUACUUAGUAUUUCUCUUCGGCUCUUAUCAGUUUCUUCAUGGAACAUCUAAUUCGAUUCAUCCUGAAUCUGUUAGUAAAAGUCGGCUCAACUUUCCAAAUAUAAAGUACAAGACCAAGAUACUGCUCUGUAACUCCAAAUUCAAAAAAACGUGUGAAUCAUAAGCACUACUGAGCAAUAGAGGGUUUUU